CUUUUACAAUGAAGAGUUUGAUCCUGGCUCAGGAUGAACGCUAGCUACAGGCUUAACACAUGCAAGUCGAGGGGCAGCAUUUUAGUUUGCUUGCAAACUAAAGAUGGCGACCGGCGCACGGGUGAGUAACACGUAUCCAACCUGCCGAUAACUCGGGGAUAGCCUUUCGAAAGAAAGAUUAAUAUCCGAUAGUAUAUUAAAACCGCAUGGUUUUACUAUUAAAGAAUUUCGGUUAUCGAUGGGGAUGCGUUCCAUUAGUUUGUUGGCGGGGUAACGGCCCACCAAGACUACGAUGGAUAGGGGUUCUGAGAGGAAGGUCCCCCACAUUGGAACUGAGACACGGUCCAAACUCCUACGGGAGGCAGCAGUGAGGAAUAUUGGUCAAUGGACGAGAGUCUGAACCAGCCAAGUAGCGUGAAGGAUGACUGCCCUAUGGGUUGUAAACUUCUUUUAUAUGGGAAUAAAGUAUUCCACGUGUGGAAUUUUGUAUGUACCAUAUGAAUAAGGAUCGGCUAACUCCGUGCCAGCAGCCGCGGUAAUACGGAGGAUCCGAGCGUUAUCCGGAUUUAUUGGGUUUAAAGGGAGCGUAGGUGGAUUGUUAAGUCAGUUGUGAAAGUUUGCGGCUCAACCGUAAAAUUGCAGUUGAAACUGGCAGUCUUGAGUACAGUAGAGGUGGGCGGAAUUCGUGGUGUAGCGGUGAAAUGCUUAGAUAUCACGAAGAACUCCGAUUGCGAAGGCAGCUCACUAGACUGCAACUGACACUGAUGCUCGAAAGUGUGGGUAUCAAACAGGAUUAGAUACCCUGGUAGUCCACACAGUAAACGAUGAAUACUCGCUGUUUGCGAUAUACAGUAAGCGGCCAAGCGAAAGCAUUAAGUAUUCCACCUGGGGAGUACGCCGGCAACGGUGAAACUCAAAGGAAUUGACGGGGGCCCGCACAAGCGGAGGAACAUGUGGUUUAAUUCGAUGAUACGCGAGGAACCUUACCCGGGCUUAAAUUGCAUUUGAAUAAUCUGGAAACAGGUUAGCCGCAAGGCAAAUGUGAAGGUGCUGCAUGGUUGUCGUCAGCUCGUGCCGUGAGGUGUCGGCUUAAGUGCCAUAACGAGCGCAACCCUUAUCUUUAGUUACUAACAGGUGAUGCUGAGGACUCUAGAGAGACUGCCGUCGUAAGAUGUGAGGAAGGUGGGGAUGACGUCAAAUCAGCACGGCCCUUACGUCCGGGGCUACACACGUGUUACAAUGGGGGGUACAGAAGGCAGCUACCUGGCGACAGGAUGCUAAUCCCAAAAACCUCUCUCAGUUCGGAUCGAAGUCUGCAACCCGACUUCGUGAAGCUGGAUUCGCUAGUAAUCGCGCAUCAGCCAUGGCGCGGUGAAUACGUUCCCGGGCCUUGUACACACCGCCCGUCAAGCCAUGAAAGCCGGGGGUACCUGAAGUACGUAACCGCAAGGAGCGUCCUAGGGUAAAACUGGUAAUUGGGGCUAAGUCGUAACAAGGUAGCCGUACCGGAAGGUGCGGCUGGAACACCUCCUUUCU
rnacentral:rRNA from 1 species